GACGAACGCUGGCGGCGUGCUUAACACAUGCAAGUCGAACGGAAAGGCCCUGCUUUUGUGGGGUGCUCGAGUGGCAAACGGGUGAGUAACACGUGAGUAACCUGCCCUUGACUUUGGGAUAACUUCAGGAAACUGGGGCUAAUACCGGAUAGGAGCUCCUGCUGCAUGGUGGGGGUUGGAAAGUUUCGGCGGUUGGGGAUGGACUCGCGGCUUAUCAGCUUGUUGGUGGGGUAGUGGCUUACCAAGGCUUUGACGGGUAGCCGGCCUGAGAGGGUGACCGGCCACAUUGGGACUGAGAUACGGCCCAGACUCCUACGGGAGGCAGCAGUGGGGAAUAUUGCACAUGGGCGGAAGCCUGAUGCAGCAACGCCGCGUGCGGGAUGACGGCCUUCGGGUUGUAAACCGCUUUCGCCUGUGACGAAGCGUGAGUGACGGUAAUGGGUAAAGAAGCACCGGCUAACUACGUG
rnacentral:rRNA from 1 species